rnacentral:tRNA from 1 species
ACUAUUUUGGCAGAUAAUAUGUGUUGGACUUAGGAUCCGGUAAUAUAGAGGAAUUCUAUAAAUAGUU